rnacentral:rRNA from 1 species
AUUGAAUGCUGGCGGCAUGCUUUACACAUGCAAGUCGAACGGUAACAGGCCGCAAGGUGCUGACGAGUGGCGAACGGGUGAGUAAUGCAUCGGAACGUGCCCAGUCGUGGGGGAUAACGCAGCGAAAGCUGCGCUAAUACCGCAUACGAUCUAUGGAUGAAAGCGGGGGACCGUAAGGCCUCGCGCGAUUGGAGCGGCCGAUGUCAGAUUAGGUAGUUGGUGGGGUAAAGGCUCACCAAGCCAACGAUCUGUAGCUGGUCUGAGAGGACGACCAGGCACACUGGGGCUGGGACACGGCCCAGACUCCUACGGGAGGCAGCAGUGGGGAAUUUUGGACAAUGGGCGCAAGCCUGAUCCAGCAAUGCCGCGUGCAGGAAGAAGGCCUUCGGGUUGUAAACUGCUUUUGUACGGAACGAAACGGUCCUGGUUAAUACCUGGGGCUAAUGACGGUACCGUAAGAAUAAGCACCGGCUAACUACGUGCCAGCCGCCGCAGUAAUAC